CGGCACGGGUGAGUAACACGUAUCCAACCUGCCGUCUACUCUUGGACAGCCUUCUGAAAGGAAGAUUAAUACAAGAUGGCAUCAUGAGUCCGCAUGUUCACAUGAUUAAAGGUGUUCCGGUAGACGAUGGGAAUGCGUUCCAUUAGAUAGUAGGCGGGGUAACGGCCCACCUAGUCUUCGAUGGAUAGGGGUUCUGAGAGGAAGGUCCCCCACAUUGGAACUGAGACACGGUCCAA
rnacentral:rRNA from 1 species